UUACUUACCUGGACGGGGUCUAUGGGUGAUCAAGGAUACCCAUGGCCUAGAUCAAUGGUCCACAUUGCACACGGUGGAAGUGUUGGUCUACCAUCUCCUCAAGUAGGAGAGUGGACGUCAUAAUUUAUGGUAGAGGGGGUACGCGUUCGCGCGGCCCCUA
rnacentral:snRNA from 1 species